GUCGGUGAAAUUAAUGAUCACCCGGCCUAUUGUCGAGUCAGGUGUCUGUGUGCGGUCGUUUGUGUGUAUAAUACGUAUAUAAGUAGUAUAUUACACGUAUUACGUAUAUAUAUAUAUAUAAACGUGUGCGUAUAUGCAUAGUUUGCCAAUGUAACGCAUUGAAUUCGGUGAAAAUUUACAUUCGCAGCGGCCCUUUUCUCCUCGUCUUCCGCUGUCUGCUUUUUUUUCCAUACUAUCGAUUUAGCCUUUCCUAGGAAACCCCACAAAUACAACGGUUAUAUUUUUAAUACAUUUGGGCGAACGCGCGCGCGUCUGCUUGUACCGUCCGUGUGCGUGAGUGUGCUUGUUAAUGCUAAAAGCGAUUCUCGUUCAUUCAUGCAAAAACGUUUAACCGUGACGGACAUAACCGCGGAAUGGCGUAGCUAUAUACUUGUAGGGGAACAUGAGUGACCCCGGGGGAUAAACGUGAUGACGCCGCCGGGUACGCCACCCAAAACAAAAAGUACAGACAGUGAAGAAAACGAAGACGUAAAAGUGGUAGACAUCGAAGAUGACUCAGUGUUCGCCAUUCGAAAGAAUGAUGGUAAAAAACACGUACAUUUUUCGGAAGAGACCAUCACAGUGAUGAUACCUAAUCCACCCAAAGGGUUUUGUGACUCGGUUAAAAAACUGUUGGACUUUGUUUGCUGUUGUGGAUGUUGUUUUCCAAACUACUUAUAAUAAUAAGCUUUGUGAUAAUUAAUAAUAUAUUUUUUUUGAAUAUUAGAUAUUAUAAUGUAUACUGUAUUAUAUACUACAUUACACUGUUAACCAGCGCUAUCGUGUGUUCUUAUAUUAAAUUUGUAAAUAAAACAAUUAGAAAAUAUUUUACGAAAUUUGUCUAAUUUUUUGAAUAAACAUAAAAAUAUGCGUAUAUA